rnacentral:rRNA from 1 species
AAGCGGAGGAAAAGAAACCAACAGGGAUUGCCCCAGUAACGGCGAGUGAAGCGGCAACAGCUCAAAUUUGAAAUCUGGCCCCCCGGGUCCGAGUUGUAAUUUGCAGAGGAUGCUUCGGGCGAGGUGCCUUCCGAGUUCCCUGGAACGGGACGCCACAGAGGGUGAGAGCCCCGUCUGGUCGGACACCGAGCCCGUGUGAAGCUCCUUCGAAGAGUCGAGUAGUUUGGGAAUGCUGCUCAAAAUGGGAGGUAUAUGUCUUCUAAAGCUAAAUAUUGGCCAGAGACCGAUAGCGCACAAGUAGAGUGAUCGAAAGAUGAAAAGCACUUUGAAAAGAGGGUUAAAAAGUACGUGAAAUUGUUGAAAGGGAAGCGCCCAUGACCAGACUUGGGCCCGGUGAAUCACCCGGCGUUCUCGCCGGUGCACUUUGCCGGGCACAGGCCAGCAUCAGUUUGGCGCGGGGGACAAAGGCUUCGGGAACGUGGCUCCCUCGGGAGUGUUAUAGCCCGCUGCGUAAUACCCUGCGCCGGACUGAGGUACGCGCAUCGCAAGGAUGCUGGCGUAAUGGUCAUCAGCGACCCGUCUUGAAACACGGACCAAGGAGUCGUCUUCGUAUGCGAGUGUUCGGGUGUCAAACCCCUACGCGGAAUGAAAGUGAACGCAGGUGAGAGCUUCGGCGCAUCAUCGACCGAUCCUGAUGUUCUCGGAUGGAUUUGAGUAAGAGCAUACGGGGCCGGACCCGAAAGAAGGUGAACUAUGCCUGUAUAGGGUGAAGCCAGAGGAAACUCUGGUGGAAGCUCGCAGCGGUUCUGACGUGCGAAUCGAUCGUCAAAUAUGGGCAUGGGGGCGAAAGACUAAUCGAACCUUCU